ACGCACGCUGGCGGCAGGCUUCACCCAUGCAAGUCGCACGCCCCGCAAGGGGAGUGGCAGCCGGGUGAGUAACGCGUGGGAAUCUACCCAUCCCUACGGAAUAACGCAUGGAAACGUGUGCUAAUACCGUAUACGCCCUACGGGGGAAAGAUUUAUCGGGGAUGGAUGAGCCCGCGUUGGAUUAGCUAGUUGGUGGGGUAAAGGCCUACCAAGGCGACGAUCCAUAGCUGGUCUGAGAGGAUGAUCAGCCACAUUGGGACUGAGACACGGCCCAAACUCCUACGGGAGGCAGCAGUGGGGAAUAUUGGACAAUGGGCGCAAGCCUGAUCCAGCCAUGCCGCGUGAGUGAUGAAGGCCUUAGGGUUGUAAAGCUCUUUCACCGGAGAAGAUAAUGACGGUAUCCGGAGAAGAAGCCCCGGCUAACUUCGUG
rnacentral:rRNA from 1 species